rnacentral:tRNA from 5 species
GGGAUGUUGGUAUAAACGGCAAUUACUGCAGACUCUUAAUCUGUCAAAUCUGGGUUCGAAUCCCAGGCGUCCCAC